CGGCGGACGGGUGAGUAACACGUGGAUAACCUACCUAUAAGACUGGGAUAACUUCGGGAAACCGGAGCUAAUACCGUAUAAUAUAUUGAACUGCAUGGUUCAAUAGUGAAAGACGGUUUUGCUGUCACCUAUAGAUGGAUCCGCGCCGCAUUAGCUAGUUGGUAAGGUAACGGCUUACCAAGGCAACGAUGCGUAGCCGACCUGAGAGGGUGAUCGGCCACACUGGAACUGAGACACGGUCCAGACUCCUACGGGAGGCAGCAGGG
rnacentral:rRNA from 1 species